UGGCUAUGCUGCCUUUCCCUGAUCUAACGGAGCAGUUGUGACUGCAGCAACCAGCAGAUACAGUCAUGACCUUGUCUGUGAGAUGCAGGCAUUUGUUCUCUUUGAAACUUGGGCCAAAACAUCUUCCGGUUUGCAAUGGGUUGAUCUGAUUCUCUGGAUGGAAGAAGACAGACAAAUUACCUGACAGGGUGGAGACAAUACAGAAAGAUAAUUGAUAGGAACUUAAUUUCAACGUUCAUAGGUCAAAGUAAAUUUAUAAUCAAAAUCAGCAUAUACAACCCUGAGAUUAACUUUCUUGCAGCAUUCUCAGUAACUCUAAUAAUCAUAAUAGACUCAGAGGAAGACUGCAUGAACAGGGCAGAUGCCCAGUGUGCAAAAGAUAACAAACUGUACAAAAAAUACAAAUAGAAAGAAAAAAAGGAAAUAAAAAUAAUAAUA